AGUCGAGCGGACCGACGGGAGCUUGCUCCCUUAGGUCAGCGGCGGACGGGUGAGUAACACGUGGGUAACCUGCCUGUAAGACUGGGAUAACUCCGGGAAACCGGGGCUAAUACCGGAUGCUUGAUUGAACCGCAUGGUUCAAUCAUGAAAGGCGGCUUCGGCUGCCGUUUACAGAUGGACCCGCGGCGCAUUAGCUAGUUGGUGAGGUAACGGCUCACCAAGGCGACGAUGCGUAGCCGACCUGAGAGGGUGAUCGGCCACACUGGGACUGAGACACGGCCCAGACUCCUACGGGAGGCAGCAGUAGGGAAUCUUCCGCAAUGGACGAAAGUCUGACGGAGCAACGCCGCGUGAGUGAUGAAGGUUUUCGGAUCGUAAAGCUCUGUUGUUAGGGAAGAACAAGUACCGUUCGAAUAGGGCGGUACCUUGACGGUACCUAACCAGAAAGCCACGGCUAACUACGUGCCAGCAGCCGCGGUAAUACGUAGGUGGCAAGCGUUGUCCGGAAUUAUUGGGCGUAAAGCGCGCGCAGGCGGUUUCUUAAGUCUGAUGUGAAAGCCCCCGGCUCAACCGGGGAGGGUCAUUGGAAA
rnacentral:rRNA from 1 species